GACGGGCAGAUGAGGAAUCUCUUAUUUAAAUGGGUAAUUUGCGUCUGAAUUAUUCCAUUGAUGUUAUCACCUUGGAGAUCUGAUGCCCUGA